AUUAAUUAAUAAUAUAUUAUAUCUUUUAUCCGGAUUAAACAAAUAUAUUUUUUUCGAACUAUUUUUUAGUAAAUACGUAGAUAAUAGAUACUGUAUGUACCCAGAAGUUUCGUUUAGGGAAGGAGAGGGCAUAAGAGUGAUGAUCCCCUAGAUAUUUCGUUUUACUGUACGUGUUAAUACUUUUUUCUAAUUAUAUAUAUAAUAUGUACCUAUAUAGUAUAAUAUAUUAAAAAAUAUUGCCUCCGCCCCUAGGCAAAGUACUAAAUCCUCCGCUGUAUGUGCCUAUUGUCAUUUUUUAACAUUUUUUUUUCUCCAAUCACAGUGUAACCUUGGUAACUCACAAACGUACUUAUGUGAUGUAUAAAUUUAGAAUUGGUUCUUUUAUGUCAUUUAAAUAACCGAAACUUAUCUUUGAUCUAUUCAUAGAAAACAUUAGUUGUAUUUCGUCAACACACCGGCUAAACUGCGUAAUAUUGUAUACAAUAUCAGGCAAUGUGUAUAUUAUUAAUUGUUGUUUUCAGACGUCGAGAUAGGCAAUGUUCUUUUACGACGAAUAAUUUAUAUACAAACCCGAAAUUAUGAUAUGUCGACGUACACACGUAAAAAUGAGUAGCUAUUGGGGGUAGCCUAUAACUACCGUUACAAAAAUUGUGUUUUUUAGAAUCUCCGUUCUAACCAUUGUUGGUUAAAAGAUAAAACAUGCAGUUAUAGUACCGUGGUUAUUAUACUAGUAAACCAAAUAUUAUAGACUUAAAAUACAAAGUCUUAAUAAUAAUCUGUAGGCAUUUUUACUCGGUGGGUGGGGAUUUUUUUUAACAGUUAUUUAUGGACGACUUACCUAUAUGGCAUCAGACGGCAAUUUCUUCACGUUUGAAACUUUUGUUCGAAACUUCUCGGCACAAUGUUCCUCCACUUGAACAUUAUUUUUAAUCCUCCGGGAAUAUCGAUGUAAUAAUUCGUCUUGUGCAGGACCUUUAUAGCUAUACUCUUUUGGGAAUACUGCACUUUCUCUG